UACGUAGGGGGCAAGCGUUGUCCGGAAUCAUUGGGCGUAAAGCGCGUGUAGGCGGCCAGAUAAGUCCGCUGUGAAAUCUCGAGGCUCAACUUCGAGCUGUCGGUGGAACUGUCUGGCUAGAGUCCGGAAGAGGAGAAUGGAAUUCCUGGUGUAGCGGUGAAAUGCGCAGAUAUCAGGAGGAACACCGGUGGCGAAGGCGGGUCUCUGGGCCGAUACUGACGCUGAGGAGCGAAAGCGUGGGGAGCGAACAGG
rnacentral:rRNA from 1 species